rnacentral:lncRNA from 1 species
UUAAAGGAUUAAAAGACAUUAAAAAUUUUGCCCAAAUACAAAAUUAAGCAUUAUACUUGUAUUCAACGCCUGACCAAGCAAUGGAAACUAAUGAAACUAAUGUCCCCCACACACCUUAUUCUUUCCGCACGAUGUUGAUAAAACAGUUUACUUAUGUGAAUUCGAUUUCGAUGCGGAAUGAAUGAGUUGACCCAUAUUAUAAUUCUGAAUCCUAAAAGAGAGAAAUUGUAAACUGAAGGGAGGCGUUUUUUGAGGGCUCUGAAGUGUCGUAGAAAAAAUUAUGAAAGUAUUUUAAAUUUCUACAUUUUUCUGCUUAUUAGUGUAAUAUUCUACUUAACUUU